UGAAUUAUGGUGGUGCUACAAACAAGCUCAUCUUUGGAACUGGCACUCUGCUUGCUGUCCAGCCAA